GGGAAGGACUGGUCUUCCCCGGGACCCCCACUGAGGGCCCCCCUCUCCCCCCACCCCCUCCCCGGCACCCUGAGGUCUCGCCCCCUCACGGGGCACACGAGCUCCAAGGCCAGACCAGGCUGGCCCACUACACGCAGGGGCACCGUAGUCUCCAAAACCGUGCCCCCCGAAGCCAGAUGAACAAGAGGCCCCCAAUCCGGGCUUUCUCAGGCAACGCAGGCUCCUUUAACUGCCUUGACCUGGAGCCCAGAGACACUUUCACGACAACCCAGGCCGGAGCAGGCCGGAGUCCUGGCGCCCACAGACCCGAGGGGACCAGAACCCCCCCCCAGCUCUAGGGGGGCCUGCACAGUGAGAGAAAAGCUCCAGAAAGCCCUGUGGGCAGGAAGGAGCCCCAGAGGCAGCACGGGCCAUCGGCCCCUGAGGGUCAGCCCUGGACCUCAGCGGGAGGUGUUUGGCCUGCUCUGGGUCUGCCCCAGGACCUCCCAGGCCUGCCCUGGCCCCUCCGUCCUCCCCCAGGCCACUUCCCUCUCCCCUUCUGUUCAUCCUGACCCUUGUGCGAACCAACUGAAUUUGAAAGCACCGUCCCCCUCGGCUGAGCCCCUCACACCCCUAACAUGUCACCCAUCGCCCAGCCAGGCCUCCCACCGUUCCUACCACUCACCUUCGGCCUUACGGGGCCCACGCUGCUGGAAAAAAUCACAUCCUGCCUUCCCUCCCCCACUCUCCAGUCUCUUCCUCCUCACCCCUCCUCAGACCUCCCCCUUUCCUCAUCUUCCUUCCUCAAGUGCCUUCCGCUCCUCCCUCCAGCUUCCCCCACCUUCCAGGAUGGAGGAGCCUUCCUCCUGGCCCAGGCCAACCCCUGUCGGAACCGUGACCCCACCCGCCAUCUCUGUCCCCUCAUCUGGUCUUUCGCUUCUCUUUUUUAACUGAGAAGUCUUUUAUUGAUCAGUUCCAGGCAGGACCCAAAAGGCCAUAACAAAGAAAGGAGCUACAGUUUAGAGAAGAGGCAAAGGGGCUCCCAUUCUCCCCUUGCCCCCGCCUCUAAUCUGCCUUUCGUCCCCAGCGGGCCUGGGAGUCAGCCAAGAUGGCUGGAGGCACACGGAGCCCAGAGGGCCGCACCUGUCCCAGGCUCCUCUCUCCCUGUGACCUGGGCGCUCCAUGAAUGUGAGCCUGGGGGACCGAGACCAUGUCAACCUGGGCUGGGGGGGGGGGGCCUGAAUCAGGGCUGACCCUUGUUUCCAGUCCGUCCCUCCUGCCGACUCCUUCCCUUCGCCUUCCACUUUCCCGGCCUGAGAAAGCCCCCAGCCCUCACUACCCACACCGGCCCCAAACCAGCGACCCUGCUCUCUCCCAGGGGGCUCGCGGUCUCCUUUCCUCUGGCCCAGCCCCGUAUUUCUGAUUGUCCCCUCUUCCCCUGCUUCUCCUUCCCGCUCUCCUGGGCUGGGGACCCCCGGGCUCCGACCUCUCAUCUGCCCCUUCCCCGUCAGCUCCUCGGCUCCCCCGGCCUGAAUGACCACCUCUGUGCUGCUGCUUCCCCACGUAGCCGUCCGGCCCCGGUCUCUCUGCGGACCUCCAGCCUCAGCUCCGCUGCUGCUUCUCGGCCAUCCCAACCCGUGGCCAGUCCCAACAGAGCUCCUCCCCCUUUCCGGGACCCCCCCUUCCCUAUUUCUGUGGAGAGCCACGACCUUCCCCCAGCCCUUCAGGGCGGCACCGGCCUCCUCCUCAGCGGCCAGGGUCUGUGCGCUUCACCCGCGGCGCCCCCUCGGGCAGAAGGUCCUGGGGAGCAGCGACGGGAUUGGAGCGGAGCCUCGGGGGAAGCUGAGGGGCUGGGGUGGGCCCGAGAGGCGAGGAGCAGAGCGUGGGGAGCGCGAGUCCGGCACGUGGUCAGACUGACGCUUCCGCUUUCAGGGCCUCCCAGGAGGGACUCGGCCGGAGAGCUCAGGCCGGAGGCCGAGAGGGGCACGGGGGAAGCUGUACCAAAGGGCAGGAUGCCCACGGACUGAGAUCUGCCAGAGACCAGGCAGGCGGCGGGAGGACAGAGGCCCCGAGGGCUCGGAAGGACGGCUGCAGACGGUCCUGGGGGCUGGGGUGUCUCGGGCACGCGCCUGGGCAUCAUCUGCACAAGAGCUCCGAGAGGGAGCCUGGGCACGCCCACGGGACAGCAGGAGGGGACGCCCAGGGCCCGGGCAGAGAACCAUGGCGGGGACCGAGGGGGGAGGCUUGCUUUGGCCGGGACGGGACGGAGUGAAGGGCGUCGUUGGGGCAAUGUCCGUGCCAGGAGGAGGAAGAGGGAGAGCGUGAAGGCACAGAGGAGUCUGGGAAUGCCGGAAAUGACCUGAAAUACUGCCUCAAGGACUAGGGCCCAACUCUAACACAAAAAAGCCACCACACACCGAGGAAACCAAAACAAAGGACCUGCUCCCGGACAGCUACCAAGGGGACCAGCGGCAAACUCAAGACCAGGAAGUGAAAACAGCUACCUCUCCCUCAAAGGAAAAAAAAUUAGUCACAAACCAAAGAGUCCUGGGAAGAGCUUUACAGACUAAAAAUCAAAUGAGAAAAGUUGAGGGGAAAGAUUGGAAACGGUCAAGAAAAUUAUGAAAGACCAUGUGGAAAAAUGAUUGAAAACCUCAGGGGUAAAAAGGAACUUCUUGUAAAUUAAUAAAAUUUUCGCCCCCCCCCCUCCGCCAAGGGGAAGCUAUGACUUUGUAAGACUCCAAGAAAUAAUAAAACAAAAUCAAAAGAAUGAAUAAAUAGAAGAGAAUGUAAAACAUCCCAUUAGGAAAGAAAAACCCACUUGGAGAACAGCUCAAAGAGAGAAAAUAUUGUUGCACUACCUCAAAGCUGUGAUCAAAAAGGGUCUAGACAGUACAGAAUAUUGAGGGAGAUUCUGGGAAGAUGAUGGAGCACAUCACACAAUUCUAAGCUCUCCUGAUUUCCCCACAAACAAAACAGAACAGCUUGGGAUGAACUGAGAGUGAUAAAAACAAGUACCUGUGAGGCACAGGGCUGGUCCUCCUGGACAAAAGAAAGGUACCGAGAUGGAGGUUUGGCCGUAAAUACCCACAGGCUAAUCCCUCCGAAGCAGCAGGGGUCAGCCCUGGGGCUGGCUAGGCAGGGAAGCAGCCUCAGCCCCAACCCCAGGAACUCUUCUACCCAGACCUAGGACAAAGGCUGGGCUGCUGGCCCCAGGCCAGCCCCAGGGGAUGAUCUGCCCACCAGCACCUACAAGAAGGUGCAGCUCCCGGUCACGGUUUGGGUCAGAGUGGGGAAAGGAAGCAGGGCCUGAGGCCAGGGGCAGCAUCCCUCACCCCACAGGACUAAAAACAUGCACAGAUGAUCUGCUCAGAGUCAAAAACAAAUGAGCAAGCAGAGCAGAAAGUUACAUGAAAGGGGGAGGGGGGCGUUCAACAUCAGAGGAAGUCAGUGAAGUUUAAAAAUGCUCUUCUACCUCAAGGAAUACCAUCAAAUGGUCAACUGCCCAAAAACGAAUUCACAGAAGAAUUCAAAAAGGAUUUUAAAAAUCAAGUGAAGGAGAUGAAGGAAAAACUUUUUUAAAAAAAAUAACAAUUCAAGAAAAACAAGAAGAUUAUGAAAAGAAAGUCAAACAACUAGAAAAAGAGAUCCAGAUUCUUAAGGAAGAAAAUGAUUCCUUGAAAACUAGACCUGGACAAGGGGAGGCUGGCAAAGUUAUAAGAGGCCAAGAAACAACAAAACAAAAUAGAAUGAAAAAAUAGAAGAAAAUCUGAGAUAUCUCACAAGAAAAAAAGAUAAAGAAUUUUUAAAAAUGGAUUAUCUGAAAGCUACAAUAAAAAAAAUAUAUUGUUACAAUAAUACAAGAAAUAAUUAAAGAAAAUUGUCCUCAAGUGUUAGAACCAGAGGGGAAAACAGAACUAGAAAAAUACCCACCGAUCACCACCUCAAAGAGAUCCUACAAGGAAAACCUACAGGAGCAUUAUCAUGAAAUUCUGAGAGCCCUGAAUCAAAGAGAAAAUAUUACAAUCAACAAGAACAAAAAUCAACUGAAAACUGACAAAGCCACACAAGUAAAAAUAAGACCUAGCUGCACAAAAUUAAAAGACUAUAUCGAAGAGCAGAAGAACCAGGGUUCUAGCUCCUGAAUGGGAAAAACAAAAACAAAAAACUUUCAAUGAACUCAGUUUUCAGGAUUUUGAUGCAAAAAAGAUCUGCACUUAAAAGAAAAUUUGACAUAUAAAAUGAUAGAGAAAUAUAUUGCAAACAUCAACAACGGAAAUGUGAACCAUAUGUCCUGAUUAUCAUUAGUAAUUGGGCAAUUCAAAAGAAAGACUGGGAUAGAAUUGAAUAUAAUGUGAUUCUAGAAAGCAAAA